AGGGAUAGUCUACAGGGGGAGCUGAAUGGGCAGCCUAUUGCUAUCAAAAAAUGCUCUCUCAAGGGAAUUAGGACAAGUGAUCCGAUCGAAGAAGCCAAGAACUUGUCCCUUUUUAAUCAUUCCAACAUUAUCCAACUCCUUGGGGUCUGCAAAACAGAUUCCCACCUUUACAUGGUUAUGCCUUACUUGAGUAAUGGGGACUUGAUGUCAAAAUAUGCAGGUAUAAAUUGUACUUCUCCUAUCAAUAGCAAGUCAUAAUAUAGUACUAUUAUUCUUGAAUAGUUACAAGUUUUAAAUUUGUCUUACACUUCAUAUUACAGUAUUUCCUUUACUAUAGUUGCAAGCUUUAACUCCAUCUUACAGACAUUGAAGUUUCUAGCUUAAGAUUUCUUUGGCAUCAUUCUAUUCUAAUUUGUACUGGUGAUAGUUAACGUUGGCAUCCUUCUAAUUUUAGUCACUUUGAAGAAACUAAUAACAAUUGUAGUUUUACAUCACAUGGAGCAAACUGAAUGAACAAAAUACAAAAAUAAUGAAGAAUUAACCAAAGACUUGGCCGAUGGCUGGAGAAUUAUUGCAAUAAGUUCAUUGAGGAAAGAGUUUUUAUAUUGGAUUUGGAUCGAGAUGAGUCAAGAUGUAACGAGUCAAAACCCAACCCCUCAAUUAUCACAUAAAUCUAAGUAAUUGAUCGGUGAACAACAAUUUACACUAACUCAACAUAUGUUUCGGUCAAAUUGUAGCAGCAAAUUUUUGGCGAAAUCUUAGUUUUAAGAUUGCAGAAUCUAUUGCAAGGAUUUAGGUCUCGACUACAUUUCAGAAAAUUUAAAGAAGCUUCUGAAAUUACAACUUUUACGAUUAUGGGUCAAAUUUGACACCUCUAGCCAUACCUGGUUGCAUCUACUGGACCAUUUGGAAGGAAAGAAACUUAAGAAGUAUAGAAGGAAAGAGGGACUCAUUAAGCUAGGUUGAAAUUGAGCAUAUUCUUCAUUUAUCGGCCUAUUGUAAUCUUUAUGUCUUACCUGGGUUAGACAAGUAACUCGAUUUCUACUAGAUUCAGUAAUAUAUGUGUAAUUAUCUAUUCACUGCACUCUAGCUCAGAUUUUAAUUAUUGAAAUAAAGUUAUCGGAAAAAAAAUUGUAAGAAUCCUUUUGAUAACCCAUUGUAGCUUUUAACUCAUGAACAUCUCAAGUAUCCUUAUGAUUUAUAGAGAAAAGUUAUCUGCAGUGCAACAACAAAAGUAAGAAAUUAGUGUGUAGAGCAUAUGAGAGGAAGUAGAUAAAAAUUAAGUGACAAAUGAGACAAUGUUAGCACCGGAUAUUUCAAACCCCUAAGUAGAUAUUUUUCCGCAAACAUAGAGCUAAAGCAACAACUUUUGCAGGGCUUUCGUUGCUUUGGUGCCUUGUUCCCUAUCACUGCCUUGCUAAUCUAGGUGAGACAUUAUAGGGCCUCAAUGAACACUUUCAGAAUUAUUGAGAUGUAUUUUUAUACUUUGCAUAGCUGAAUUAGUUUGUUAGCACUUACUUUGUUGCUUGCUUAGCUUUCACUUAGCCUGGGGAGGGUAGUGUGUAUGCAAACCUUACCCCUUCCCGAGGGGGUUGAGAGGUUGUGUCGGGUAAACUCUUGGCUCAAGAAGACGAAAAGAGAGAUAAUAUAUCAGUACUAUCAAUAGAAAACAAUAGAAAUAAUGACAGAAACAUAAGAAUAGAUGCAAAGCACUAACAAUAAUCAGUAGAUAAGGUCCGGCACAAAGAAAAACUGUAGAAUAGUGCGAAGACAACAUGAACCACUAGCAGUUUAAGACAAAAUCCUAUCAGACUAGCCUCACACCUCUACAAAGUAGAACAAUGCUAACUUGGGUAAAAUCAUGUUUUUGCUUCUGGAGCGUAUUUUGAUUUGGUAGGACAUACCUGGUUGCAUCUAGUGGACCAUUUGGAAGGAAAGAAAUCUAAGAAAGUUUGAAGGAAAGAGGGACUCACUCACUAUCUAGAUUGAAUUUAAACAUAUUCUUCUUUUAGCAUCCUAGUGCAAGAGGAAGUAGAAAAUUAAGUGACAAAUGAGACUAUGUUAGCACUUAGCACCGAAUAUAUCAGACCCCUAAGCAGACAUCUUUCUGCAAACAUAGAAUUAGAGCAACAACUUUUGCAGGACUUGUUACUUCAGUGACUUGUUUUCUAUUACUGCUUUACUAAUCUAGGUGAGACAUUAUAGGGCCUCAAUGAAUAGUUUCAGAUUAUUGAGAUAUAUUUAUAUACUUGUAUAGCUGAAUUAGUUGGUUAGUUCGUGGCUUAGCUGUCAAUUAGUUGAUAUUAGUCGGUUAGAUGGUUUCAGAUAUUUUGGUAUAGAUAUAUUGGUUUCAGAUAUUUUAUUUUUUCUUGAUACGUGACUCAAAUGGCCUGCUCUUUUGAGUGCAGCUAAUAUUGCAAACCCUUAUAACUUUAAAAUGAGUCGGUAAAUUAUUCGGGUAAGGAGGAAAGGGGGUCUAGUGCAUUUUUUCUGGAAAAAUGAAGAGCCUUUCACAUCCUUCUAAACUUAGAAAGAGUAAAGUAAUUAAAUAACCUUUUUAGAUUUCAUCUAGCACAGUCUAGUCGCAUGAGCAAAAUACAAAAAUAAUAAAGCAACAAGGAAAGUGACGGAAUAACUUCAAAAAGGGUGGAUAGUUAGUUUCAUAAAUCUAUUGAGGAAAGAGUUUCCCGAUUUAAAGACAAUCAAAGUGUCCAGUUCUAUUCACUGCUACUCGUGCUGCAGCAGAUUAAAAUUCAAGAUGAGUAACUGAAAUGUUGGACAGAGAAUGGAAGGGAACUAGUGAAUAUUUGUAGAAACUGAAGAAUAUGCUUCUUUGGGUUGAUUAAAAGUGGGAAUAGCUUGAAACUUGGUUAGAUGAGAUAAAUGUUUCAAAUUACUUCAACCGUACAUAGGUUUUGCUAUUUUAUUUGAGCAGUAACUUUUUCACUAGAUACGUAUUGAUACACGCACUUUCAAACAAAAUUAAAUUGGAGUCAAAUUGUUAAUGUCUUGGUGGAAGUUGCUUUGGGAUUGAAGCACGUGCACAAUUGCAGUCCUCCAUUGAUCUUCAACGACUUAAACCCAUCCAACAUACUUUUGGAUGAGGUAAUUACUUUAUUAAAUUUAUUAAGAUAUGUCAAAACUUUAAUAUCUUAUUCAUUAAAAUACAAAUGUAGGAAUUAAAUGUAGUUUUGUGCGAUUUUGGGGCGCCGUCACCAACAACAAGGGAGAAAAAAAUUUGGUACCCCUAGAUAUAUUGACCUUGCCCAUCUGUAUCAAAUGAAUCGUAAGCUCAAGGAUGAUUACCGAUCUGAAUCUAAAAUAUUUUUGCAUUCUGGAAAAUUUAAUAUUUUAACAAACUUUGUCUAUUUUAUGACAGAAUAUCCCGUAGUGGAAAAUGACAUAUUCGGUUUUGGAAUAUUCAUGUUGCAACUUGUCAGCCAAUGUGAGAGUAUGACCAAGAUGAAGGAUAGAAGUGGAAACACAUGUAAUUCCAAGACUGAAUAUGUAAUUCCACUUCUAUCCUUCAUCUUGGUCACACUCUCACAUUGGCUGAUAAGUUGCAACAUGAAUAUUCCAAAACCGAAUAUGUCAUUUUCCACUACGGGAUAUUCUGUCAUAAAAUAGACAAAGUUUGUUAAAAUAUCAAAUUUUUCAGAAUGCAAAAAUGCUUUAGAUUCAGAUCUGUAAUCAUCCUUGAGCUUACGAUUCAUUUGAUACAAAUGGGCAAGGUCAAUGUAUCCAGGGGUACCAAAUUCUUUCUCCCUUGUUGGUGACGCCGCCCCAAAAUCGCACAAAACUGCAUUUAAUUCCUACAUUUAUAUUUUAAUGAAUAAGAUAUUAAAGUUUUGACAUAUCUUAAUAAAGUAAUUACCAAAUCCAAAAGUAUGUUGGAUGGUUUUAAGUCGUUGAAGAUCAAUGGAGGACUGCAGUUGUGCACGUGCUUUAAUCCCAAAGAAACUCCCACCAAGACAUUGACAAUUUGACUCCAAUUUAAUUCUGUUUGAAAGUGUGUGUAUCUAGUGGAAAAGUUACUGCUCAAAUAAAACAGCAAAACAUAUGUACGGUUGAAGUAAUUUGAAACAUUUAUCUCAUAUAACCAAGUUUCAAUCUACUCCCACUUUCAAUCAACCCAAAGAAGCAUAUUCUUCAGUUUCUACAAACAUUCACUAGUUCCCUUCCGUUCUCUGUCCAACAUUUCAGUAACUCAUCUUGAAUUUUAAUCUGCUGCAGCACGAGUAGCAGUGAAUAGAACUGGACACUUCGAUUGUCUUUAAAUCGGGAAACUCUUUCCUCAAUAGAUUUAUGAAACUAACUAUCCACCCUUUUUGAAGUUCUUCCGACACUUUCCUUAUUGCUUCAUUGUUUUUGUAUUUUGCUCAUGCGACUAAACUGUGCUAGAUGAAAACUAAAAAGGUUAUUUAAUUACUUUACUCUUUCUAAGUUUAGAAGGAUGUGAAAGGCUCUUCAUUUUUUCAGAAAACAUGCACUAGACCCCUUUUCCUCCUUACCCAAAUAAUUUACUGACUCAUUUUAAAGUUAUAAGGGUUUGCAAUAUUAGCUGCACUGAAAAGAGCAGGCCAUUUGAGUCACGUAUCAAGAAAAAAUAAAAUAUCUGAAACUAGUAUAUCUAUACCAAAAUAUCUGUAACUAUCUAACUGACUAAUACCAACUAAUUGACAGCUAAGCCACUAACUAAUUCAGCUAUACAAGUAUAUACAUAUAUCUCAAUAAUCUGAAACUGUUCAUUGAGGCCCUAUAAUGUCUCACCUAGACUAGUAAAGCAGUAAUAGAAAACAAGUCACUGAAGCAACAAAAGUCCUGCAAAAGUUGUUGCUCUAAUUCUAUGUUUGCGGAAAGAUGUCUACUUAGGGGUCUGAUAUAUCCGGUGCUAUGUGCUAACAUAGUCUCAUUUGUCACUUAAUUUUCUACUUCCUCUUACACCAGGCUGCUAAAAGAAGAAUAUGUUUAAAUUCAACCUAUAUAGUUAGUGAGUCUCUCUUUCCUUCAAACUUUAUUAGAUUUCUUUCCUUCAAAAUGGUCCAUUAGAUGCAACCAGGUAUGUCCUACCAAAUCAAAAUACGCUCCAGAAGAGCAGAAACAUGAUUUUACCCAAGUUAGCAUUAUUCUACUUUAUAGAGAUGUGAGGCUAGUGUGAUAAGGUUUUGUCUUAGACUGCUAGUCGUUCAUGUUGUGUUCACACUAUUCUAUCAUUUUUUUUUUGUGCCGGACCUUAUCUAUUGAUUAUUGUUAGUACUUUGCAUCUAUUCAUAUGUUUCUGUCAUUAUUUCUAUUAUUUUUUGUUGAUAGUAUUGAUAUAUUGUCUCUCUUUUCGUCUUCUUGAGCCGAGAGUUUACCCGAAACAACCUCUCAACCCCCUCGGGGAAGGGGUAAGGUUUACGUACACAUUACCUUCCUCAGACCCCACUUGUGGAAUUUUACUGGGUUGUUGUUGUAUCUAACUGACCAAUACUAGCUAAGUAAGUGCUAACAAACUAAUUCAGCUGUGCAAAGUAUAAAAAUACAUCUCAAUAAUUCUGAAAGUGUUCAUUGAGGCCCUAUAAUGUCUCACCUAGAUUAGAAAGGCAGUGAUAGGGAACACGGCACCGAAGCAACAAAAGUUGUUGCUUUAGCUCUAUGUUUUGCGGAAAAAUGUCUACUCAGGGGUUUGAAAUAUUCGGUACUAACAUUGUCUCAUUUGUCACUUAAUUUUUAUCUUCUUCCUCUCGUAUGCUCUACACACUAAUUUCUUACUUUCGUUGUUGCACUGCAGAUAACUUUCCUCUAUAAAUCAUAAGGAUACUUGAGAUGUCCAUGAGCUAAAAGCUAUAGUGUGUUAUCAAAAGGAUGCUUACGAUCUGUUUUUUCCGGUAACUUUAUUUCAAUAAUUAAAAUAUGACCUAGAGUGCAGUGAAUAGAUAAUUACACAUAUAUUACUGAAUCUAGUAGAUAUCGAGUUACUUGUCUAACCCAGGUAAGAUAUCAAGAUUACACCAGACUGUUAAAUGAAGAAUAUGCUCAAUUUCAACUUAGCUUAAUGAGUCCCUCUUUCCUUCUAAACUCCUUAAGUUUCUUUCCUUCCAAAUGGUCCAGUAGAUGCAACCAGGUAUGGCUAGAGGUGUCAAAUUUGACCCAUAAUCGUAAAAGAUGUAAUUUCAGAAGCUUUUUUAAAUUUUCUGAAAUGUAGUCGAGACCUAAAUCCUUGCAAUAGAUUCUGCAAUCUUAAAACUAACAUUUGCUGCUACAAUUUGACCGAAACAUAUGUUGAGUUAGUGUAAAUUGUUGUUCACCGAUCAAUUGCUUAGAUUUAUAUGAUAAUUGAGGGGUUGGGUUUUGACUCGUUACUUCUUGACUCAUCUCGACCCAAAUCCAUUUUGACCUAAAAUCAAUUUGGAUGGGUUGGGUCAUGACCCGUUUAUUGAUCCAACCCGUUUUGACCCGCCCAAAUUUAAUUCAACUCGCCCAUUUGCCACUCCCUAUGUAUGGCCUACCAAAUCAAAAUACGCGCUAGAGCUUUGGUAUUAAGAAGAUUUUUAGUCUCCUCAAACAUGCUAGUUCCUUUCCCUCCUCAGCCCAGCAUUUCAGUUACUUAUCUUGAAGUUUGAGUAACAGUAAACAAAACUAGUCACUUUUCAUGAGUCUUUUAAAUAUAGAAACUCUUUCCUCAAUAAACUUAUUGCAAUAAUUCUCCAGUCAUUGGCCAAGUCUUUGGUUAAUUCUUCAUUGUUUUUUGCAUUUUUUUCAUUCAGUUUGAUAGACCAUGUGAUGUAAAACUACAAUUGUUAUUAGUUUCUUCAAAGUGGCUAAAAUUAGAAGGAUGCCAACGAUAACUAUAACCAGUACAAAUUAGAAUAGAAUGAUGCCAAGGAAAUCUUAAGCUAGAAACUUCAAUGUCUCUAAGAUGGAAUUAAAGCUUGCAACAAUAGUAAAGGAAAUACUGUAAUAUGAAGUGUAAGACAGAUUUAAAACUUGUAACUAUUCAAGAAUAAUAAUACUAUAUUAUGACUUGCUAUUGAUAAGAAAGAAAUACAAUUUAUACCUGCAUAUUUUGACAUCAAGUCCCCAUUACUCAGGUAAGGCAUAACCAUGUAAAGGUGAGAAUCUGUUUUGCAGACACCAAGGAGUUGGAUAAUGUUGGAAUGAUUAAAAAGGGACAAGUUCUUGGCCUUUUCGAUCGGAUCACUUGUCCCAAUUCCCUUGAGAGAGCAUUUUUUUGAUAGCAAUAGGCUGCCCAUUCAGCUCCCCCUGUAGACUAUCCCUUAGAGUCCGCGCCCAACUUUAUGUGCAAAAUUAUUUGUCCCGUUAUUUAUAUCUUCGAAGCUGAAGGGAGUGAUUUCACCUAGAGCUAAUAAUGGGUACAAAGUGUUAAAUGUUAGAGAUUACUAUGCUUACAUGUUAAAUGUAAUAAAUUUUACUAAAAGAAUUACUCCAUUAUUCUGUGGGGGCAGGUUGUUGUUGGGUUGACUCUUCCAUUUCCUAUUGUAUUUCAGGUUGUGGUUGUUGUUGGGUUGACUCUUGUAUUUCACUUUCAACCAUGGCUGAGAAAAAAUCCUCAUGUAUUUCACUUUCAGCCAUGGCUGAGAAACAAUCCUCUUGUAUUUCACUUUCAGUUCAGCCAUGGCUGAGAAACAAUCCUCUUGUAUUUCACUUUCAGCCAUGGCUGUCAAUUUUUCUCUUUCCCUGCAAAACACAAGAUCAAUAAAAAUAGUAGGCACCUUAGAUUUAAGAACAUGAGAUACCUAAGAUCUCUUCAACAUAUUUUGUCAGGAAGUUGUUCAUCGACUCACAUAACCAAGUGCUUGAAGCUCUGCACUAUGAUACUUAAGUCUUAAGAAGCGAUAAAACUUUUGUAACUAGAUGAGGGCAUCAGUCUUAAUUUUUUUUUUUAUAUUCGACUCUGACAAAAUUAUGGCCUGUCCAAGUCUGGUUCUCUAACCAAUGGGAUUAAUACUCCAUGAUGUUCUUCCUAUAAGCACAGGAUUAGGAAUGAUAUCAUUUUCAAAGUGGAGGGGCAGAUUUUCGUGAGGGCUCAUAAUCUUUCCUUACACCAAAAUCUCUUCUCAUAACUAUUGUUUUUAUUGAGUCUAAGUUUGCUCACUGACCAAAGAAGCAGUACAAUAAAGGAAGAGAAGAAGACUUGUGGUGAGUGUGUGGAAGUGUUGAUGUGUCAAGGUAAUAUUUCUAUUCUAUUCCCAGAUCAGCAAAUCAAGCAACUUCUGGCUUUUUGUACAUUAAGGAACAAUUCCAAUUCUGGCGUGUCCCUGUAGUAUAUGAUCCUUUCUUUCUUUUUACAUAUGGUAUUUGACACUUUAUGACAUUGUGCAUAACCAGCAAUCAAUAGGGUUAUAACCCCAGAAUUCCAAAUACAAUUUUCUGAAUUGAGAAGCAAAAUAAAAAAGGUGUUGCACAACCAAAUGUUAAACGGCUAAGGUAACAUUUUUCGGGAAAAAAUUAAACACAUGUAGUUAUCAAUAUUGUAAAUACAGGCUGAUAUAUCACUUCAACAAACACCUUAUGAAGUUGCACAAGUUAAGGGUUUUAAUUAAUAACUCCGCAAAACCUUCAAAAGGAUAAUAUGAGCUAAGUUCAAUGACCAUAUUCUGUAAUAACUGGCACAAUACUCGAGACCAGGAAGGGAGACUAGCUUAAAUUAAGAAGGAAACCCAUCACCCAUCUUAGCAUUUACACUAAUAGAAGCACCCACAUUUGUGAUUUAUCAAGUGCAUAAUAAAAUAAUAGAAGAAAACAAGUUAAAAAAGAAAGUGCAUAAUAAACCCACAUUUAUGAUUUAUCAAGUGCAUAAUAAAAUAAUAGAAGAAAACAAGUUAAUGUUAAAAAUAAAAAAUAAAAAAAAGCUUGAAAAAAAAGUGGAAGACGAUGGAAAAAGUACCAAUGCACGGCGGUGGUAUGCUCGACGACGCUGGUAAUGCAAAGGAAUGUUGGAGCCAAAUAUGUAUUGUUUAUAUAACACUAGGAAUGUUGGUGUCCCAUUUGACAAAUAGGUCUGCUUGUAUAAGACAAAAUAGCAUUUUACAUGGCGUGUAUAUCCGAUUAUUGAUAGUGUUUGCUGCACACUGAUCCCAACAUUAUUAUUUAAUUCUCAUGCUUUUUGUCUUCUUAAUUUAAUAGUACUAUACUUAGUAAGUUAUUGUACAAUGUGAUAUACCUGGAUUAGUGAUACCAUUUUAAUAAUAAUAGUAUUAUUUAGUGAAUAUACUUUAUGGCAGAUUUUUGGACUAAAAACUGGUAAAGUUGUUGACAUGUGACCAGGAGGUCAUGAGUUCAAGCCGUGGAAACAGCCUCUUGCAGGGUAAGGCUGCGUACAAUAGACCUUUGUGGUCUGACCCUUUCCCAGACCCCGUGCAUAGCGGGAGCUCAGUGCAUGGGGCUGCCCUUUUUAUAUUAAAAGCUGGAUAUUGUGUAUAAUGUAAAACAUGUGUUACGUUUUUCGUACUAAAUAAGUAGGGUUAAACUUUUGUUUUAAUUAUAAUUAAGCUUUUAAGAGCAUUAGAGAAUAGUAUUUUAGUCAUUUUGGUGUUUAAUUCCGUGAUUGUUAUCCUGCAUUGAAGAUGGUAUAAAAAUAAUAAUCGUACCACAAUUGUGGUAUAACUAAUCCCUAUUUUAAAUCAAAAGUUCAACAAAACGCAGGAUACAAUAAUUUCACAUUUUAUCUCGAGAUUGUUAUCACUUAUCCUACAAAUUACACUACAAGAAAAGGUUUACUAGCGACCAAAAUUUAGUGACGGGUGAUAAAUCUCAUCCCUAAAAGUGUACGUAUAAGGACGAUAUUGAUUCCGGUCCCUAAUUCUCUAUUUUGCCUUUUAAUUAGUGAAGGGACUAAAUCCGGCCACUAAAAUAAUUGAAUUCUGGUCCUUAAUACUGUUAUUGAGCGUCACGCUAUUUAUCUUUGCCUUAAAAAUAUGAAAUAAACAAAAAUGAAUAUUCUAAAAUUAAAAAGAUAACAACUCUGUAAUUAGAACUCAGCUCUCUCAAAACUCCGUCUCCUUCUCAAAGCCUUAAAAACCCUAAACCCAUCUCUUAAAACCCGUAAGAUCCCUAAAAUCAUUAUCUCUCAAGAUUUCGUUCUUCCGAUUUCUUCUAAUAUUGUUGGAGAGAUAUGGGUAGCCGUUGGACUGAGUAUGGAUGUUCUUCCUACUGCAUAGAUGUUGCCGAAUAUUGCGUUGUUCCUAAAUCUGGUACAGGUUUGUGGGCUGAUUUUGGGUAUGUCAAAAGUUAUCCUUUUAUAUACAUUCUAUAAUGAUUUAUCUAGUUAUUUUUUAAUGUUUGGGUCGAUUCUUCUCCAAAAUUUACAACAGAUCUAGCUAGAGGGCUUGAACUCCAGAAAUAUUUUGGGAUUCCUCAGUAAACUUUGUCCAGUGAAAUAAAUUUCUUCUCAUUAUUGGCAACGAGGUAGUGAUUUCAUUCCAAGAUAUGUUUUAUGGCUUUACAGUUUGAUUACAAAGUUUUAUUUUUUGAUUGUUAAAUUAAAAAGUUUUGUUUGUUUGCUUGUUUUAUUCUUUUUCGCUCUUUAUUGUCAAUGUACAAAUACCAUAUGAGUUGUGACAUAUUAUCACACCUGACGUCUUAGUGAAUCCAAAUGUAAUGAUAAGGAUACUUUUCAUGAAUUUGAAUUUUAAAUGCCAAUAUCAGUUUAUGACAUAAUAAUUUGGGAAAGGUCUCUGGAGGAUAUUUUUUUACUUUUUACGGUGUUAAAUGUGAUGGGCACUAGUAAAGCGAGAAGAUAAAAGAAUAUUAUAUAAUUUAUGUAGUGAAAGAAUGGUGUUAAUAAUUAAUUUAGGAGUUUUGAACUUCAAAUCUUGUAUCAGGAAUGAGAUUAUUUUUCAGUGGCAAUAAAAGGAUGUAGCACAGUAUUUAAAAUUUAUCCUGUUCAUUUGAUUGUUCAUAUGUCUAAGUAGUUGAGUAGUCAGCAGAGUUAGAGGGUCCCUUAAUGAGUUAUGGUUUCUUUUUUUUUUCUUCAUAAAAAUAAUGUACUAUAUUUUGUUCUAAUUGUGAGGUUUAUGUUUGAUCAGUUGAUUAAGAUAUUCUUUGCGUUUGGCCACGAUACUCCCUUUGAGUUAACUUGUACCUAUUUUCUCAUCUUAGAUUUAACAUUUGCAUUAUCCCAGGCAUUUUUAUAAGCUUCUAUACAUAGAGAUGUAUAAUAUUCUUGUGAAGGAAAUCUCAUUGCUGCUAAGUUAUGUAGAAACUCUUAGUUUCACCAUUCUUUCCUUGGGUCGUGUAUGUAUGUGUUUGGUGUAUCUCUAGCUAUUUUCUUAGCUGCUAAUGAAAUCAUGAUCUUGGUUGUUAAUAUAUUUUUCGAUGUCAGUUGCUACAUUUCAGGAUUAGCUAUUGUUAUUCUUCAUCUUGUUCGACUUUUUUGACUUCUUGGGGAAUAUUAGGAGCAAACAUAUGAGUAUGUAGUUAAAUUAGGCUGAGCAACUGUACCUUUUUUCCCCAAAAUAAUAUCAUUAAAGUGGAGAAUACUGUUAUUUGUCAUGACUUGAGUGAUAUUAAAGUUUGUGAAUAAGCUAUAUACCUUAGUUAUCAUAAAUGAGUAGUUGGAAAGUGAAGUAUUUGAGCAGUGCUAGAAAAGAAAUACUUUUGUCUGUUUGAGCUCCUAUGUCAUUGUUUAGAAUGUUUUGAUUUCAUUUACAUGAUUUUCUAUGUAAGGAAAUUACUUCCUUGAAUGUUCUGAACAUGCUGCUUUAAAAGAUACUAAAUAUGUGGCUAAUUCUUGGUAAGUUAAAUGUGCUAUUGCUGGAGAAAUGGACAAUUUGGACAUUGCAGGUACUUAUAUGUUAUUCUGAUGUCCUUAAGAUGCUAUAGCUGAAAAUAUUGUGGCCACAAUAAUAGUUGAACUAGAACUCACUACUACCUUAUUUCAUCUGAGUACAAUGGAGUAUUCUAUCCAAAUGGACAGUUGUAUAGGCUAAUGUGGUGUUAAUAUGUGCAGGUACAAGGUGAAGGACCAAGUACAUUCAAAUAGCAAGAAGUUGAACACAAAGUGCAAAAAUUUCCCACCUUAUUGAAGAUAUGAAAAAUAUCGUCAACAAUAAUUUUUCCACUAGCAGAAAUUUGCUUCCUUAGAGGCUGUACAGAGUUUAACAACUGCACCCAAGAGGUACUAAGCUAAAUAUUAGGGUGAGUUUGAAAAUUAAUGUAGUUGAAGACUAGCAGCUUGAUGGUGUUUAGCUUUAGUUUGUUGCAGUUGUGCACUGUUUUAGACACUGCUGUAGAGAUGCAAUCUCCAUUGAGUUCAACGGCUUGACGUACUCAGUUUUAACAAAAGUUGAUAUUAAUACCAAGUGAAGUUGUCAGCGCGUAUUGGAUGCAGAAAUAAAGAUUUGUUGAAUAUGAAAUCAAGACAGUUUCAUGGUAGAAAAAAAGAUUUGGCUGAAGGGGAUCAAACCACAACAACACGGGCCUCUUACAUCAGACAUUACAAAAGUUGUCCAAUUCUUUUUCCUUGCUGCUACAGAACUGAGUUAUUCCUUUACAGUUAGUUGUCGGUUGAUCUAAUUUUUGCCUUCAAAGUGAUUUUUCCAACUUAUAUUAGUUGAAUUACUCAUUGGAGUGUAUUAGACAGACUGGUAUCGCGAGAAUAUUUAGAUGGUUAUACUAUAUAAAGUCUAAAUUCAGAAAUAUGUAGGAGGUAAGGUAUAUGUCCCCCUCCUUGUAUUUGACAUGUUAAUGAAAUCUACAUUAAGGUCUCGAUGAUUAACCUUGAUGUGCAUAUAUGAAAGCUUGAUGUUACUGAUAAUUUUGUGGUAUUAAGCUAAUUAUUUUUGUUGCAAAUUGUAUAAUAUUCUGGUAAUAAAUUGAAUAUUAGAGAAUUAGUAAUUAGACUUUUAGUCCUUAAAGAUCUUUAAGGACCAUAAUUUUUUGUCGUUAAAUAUAUUUAGGCCCCAGAUGGGACUUUGUCUAACGGCCAGAAAUUUGGUCCCUAAACGUGUUUUAGAGACCAGAAUAUUGCUAGUCGCUAAAACUCUUUAACGACCAGUCGCUACACUCAUCCUUAUUGCCUUUUAGCGACGGAGCCUAUAGCGACCAGUCACUACUCAUUUUUUAAGACCAGAAUUGGACUUUUAGGGACCAUUUUUUUUGUCUCUAAAAGAAAAAAAUGCGCAGUUGCCAAGAGAUUGAGAGAAAAUGGGUGCUCUAAAGAAGAUGCCACAAAAAUUACUGACCUCGCCUUAAGGUGCACUCAGUGCGAGAUACGUAAGAGGCCCAAUCUUGAUCGAAUCAUUCAGGAGCUACAAAUGCUUGACCAGGGCGGUUCUUGCCUGAAGAAAGCAAGCUGUUUUCGUCUACUUUAAACUGGGGAUUGGCAAGUGUGUUUUUUUGUGAAGACUUCCAUGUGCAAGAUCCAUUCUGACAAUUUAGAUUAAGAGAAUUUAGAUGAGACUCACCUCUGAGACAUGGUUUAGAUCCGCUUGGCCGGAAUCAAUGACCUAUCUCCUUUUUUUGCGGUGAAAACUUAGCCUUGUAGUAUUGUGGGGUACACGUUAUUAUUGUGGGGUACACGCAUUUAUUUUCUUGGAUAUAUCUCCUAGUCCUAGUAUAGUGUGUGUAUAUACACACACACACACUGAAUUGUAGUAAUAUUCGAAGUCCUUUCUCAAAUUUAGGUAACUUAAUACUCCC
rnacentral:lncRNA from 1 species